rnacentral:tRNA from 1 species
CGCGGGGUGGUGUAAUUGGCAACACAUUGGGCUCAUAACCCAAAGAGUAUCGGUUCGAUUCCGGUCCCCGCAACCA